UACGUAGGGGGCAAGCGUUGUCCGGAAUUAUUGGGCGUAAAGCGCGUGUAGGCUGUUUGAUCAGUCCGCUGUGAAAGCCGAGGGCUCAACCCUCGAAAGCCGGUGGAUACUGUCAGGCUAGAGUACGGAAGAGGCGAGUGGAAUUCCUGGUGUAGCGGUGAAAUGCGCAGAUAUCAGGAGGAACACCAAUUGCGAAGGCAGCUCGCUGGGACGUUACUGACGCUGAGACGCGAAAGCGUGGGGAGCAAACAGG
rnacentral:rRNA from 1 species